GGCAGUAGCUCAGUUGGUAGAGCAUCAGCUUCCCAAGCUGAGGGUCGCGGGUUCGAGUCCCGUUUGCC
rnacentral:tRNA from 8 species